AUUAUGAAAUCUUUCAGCCGUUUCACAUCAGAUAGUUUUACUGGUUUCACUAUGAAUUCCUCUGCUCCUUCUUCCAAACACCUGUCAAUUCGAGCCAAAAUGUUCUCAGAUGACAUGAUCACUACAGGUAUCUCCCUAAAAGCUGAUGAUUCCUUGAUCUUUCUAAGCAGUUCAUAUCCUGUCAUCCCCGGCAUGGAGUAAUCCGUCAUUAUAAGAUUCACUUUCAAGUCGUUGAACCCAACGGAGUUCUUCUCUCCAUCCAAUCCAAGAUACUGCAGGGCUCUAGUCCCACUCUCGACAGCCGUAACUUUACAUGAUGAGAUCUUGAGCAACUGCUCAAUAAACUUCCGGUCCACAUGGCUAUCAUCUACAGCAAGAACAUGAAGCUCUUCUGAAGUCGAAGAUGACCCAUUGGAAACUCCAACCUCCUCCGGCAAAC
rnacentral:misc_RNA from 1 species